rnacentral:lncRNA from 1 species
AAUGAAUGCCCAGCUAAGCAGAUGGGUGGGCAGGUGGAUGGAUAUGGUGGAUGGAUGGAAAGAUGAAUGGAUGGACAGUUAGAGUAGUGAGUGAGUAGAUGGGUGGGUGGACAGAGUAGUGAGUGAGUAGAUGGAUGGGUGAACAGUUAGAGUAGUGAGUGAGUAGAUGGAUGGGUGGACAGUUAGAGUAGUGAGUGAGUAGAUGGAUGGGUGACAGAGUAGUGAGUGAGUAGAUGGAUGGGUGAACAGUUAGAGUAGUGAGUGAGAAGAUGGAUGGGUGAACAGUUAGAGUAGUGAGUGAGUGGAUGGAUGGGUGGACAGUUAGAGUAGUGAGUGAGUAGAUGGAUGGGUGGACAGAGUAGUGAGUGAGAAGAUGGAUGUGUGGACAGUUAGAGUAGUGAGUGAGAAGAUGGAUGGGUGAACAGAGUAUGAGUGAGAAGAUGGAUGGGUGAACAGUUAGAGUAGUGAGUGAGUGGAUGGAUGGGUGGACAGUUAGAGUAGUGAGUGAGUAGAUGGAUGGGUGGACAGAGUAGUGAGUGAGAAGAUGGAUGUGUGGACAGAGUAGUGAGUGAGAAGAUGGAUGGGUGAACAGUUAGAGUAGUGAGUGAGUAGAUGGAUGGGUGGACAGUUAGAGUAGUGAGUGAGUAGAUGGAUGGGUGGACAGUUAGAGUAGUGAGUGAGUAGAUGGAUGGGUGGACAGUUAGAGUAGUGAGUGAGUAGAUGGAUGGCUGGACAGUUAGAGUAGUGAGUGAGUAGAUGGAUGGGUGGACAGUUAGAGUAGUGAGUGAGUAGAUGGAUGGCUGGACAGUGACAUGCAGAGGCAGGGGGGUAGAAAGAUGGAUAGGUGGCUGGGUGAGGAUCGUCACGCCUGUAAUCCCAGGACUUAGGGAGGCCGAGGUGGGCGGAUCACGAGGUCAGGAGAUCAAGACCAUCCUGGCUAACACGGUGAAACCCGUCUCUACUGAAAAUACAAAAAAUUAGCUGGGCGUGGUAGCGGGCGCCUGUAGUCCCAGCUACUCGGGAGGCUGAGGCAGGAGAAUGGCGUGAACCUGGGAGGCGGAGCUUGCAGUGAGCCGAGAUAGCGCCACUGCACUCCAGCCUGGGCGACAGAGUGAGACUCUGUCUU